rnacentral:rRNA from 1 species
UACGUAGGGCGCAAGCGUUAUCCGGAAUUAUUGGGCGUAAAGAGCUCGUAGGCGGUUUGUCGCGUCUGCCGUGAAAGUCCGGGGCUCAACUCCGGAUCUGCGGUGGGUACGGGCAGACUAGAGUGAGGUAGGGGAGACUGGAAUUCCUGGUGUAGCGGUGAAAUGCGCAGAUAUCAGGAGGAACACCGGUGGCGAAGGCGGGUCUCUGGGCAGUAACUGACGCUGAGGAGCGAAAGCGUGGGGAGCGAACAGG